AUCGAGCCCCCAGAGAGGCCAAGCGCUCCUCAGACUUGAGGAAAGAAGGCACCGAGAAGUAGAUCGAAAGAGUAGAGUGUAGCAGGCAACUGAGUCGCGGUCUCUAUCUCAGUCUCUCUCGGAAGUGGGCUGACCUGCAGGAAGGGGUCCCCGCAAGCUUGGAGACAAGACCAGAUAGGAAUUAUCUCUGAAAAUAAGCAACUAUUGGUUUAAACAAGACAUCUUUCUUCUCACCCAAGAAUUUUAAAGUUUAGAAAAGUUUCGAACUUUCUUCUCUUGAAAAUUUAAGAAGUCUUUACUGUUGGUGAAUUUAUUUAUUCUUAAUAAAAUGUGUCGCUUUGGUUUGUAGAGUAAAUAAAUGAAGUACACUUUGGCA